rnacentral:tRNA from 1 species
CUGGACUUAAGCCCCAAAUAUAAAGUUAACCUUUUUUUAGAA